rnacentral:rRNA from 1 species
AAUAUUGCGCAAUGGGCGAAAGCCUGAUGCAGCAACGCCGCGUGCGCGACGAAGGCCUNCGGGUCNUNAAGCGCUUUUCGGGGAGNUGAGCACGGACAGUAUCCCCGGAAGAAGGAUCGGCUAACUACGUGCCAGCAGCCGCGGUAAAACGUAGGAUCCGAGCGUUAUCCGAAUUCACUGGGCGUAAAGCGCAUGCAGGCGGCCGCACAAGUUGGGUGUGAAAUCUCCCGGCUCAACUGGGAGGGGACGUUCAAAACUGUGCGGCUCGAGGGCGGUAGAGGAAGGUAGAAUUCCCGGUGUAGUGGUGAAAUGCGUAGAUAUCGGGAGGAAUACCCGUGGCGAAGGCGACCUUCUGGACCGUUUCUGACGCUCAGGUGCGAAAGCUAGGGGAGCGAACGGG